UACGGAGGGUGCAAGCGUUAAUCGGAAUUACUGGGCGUAAAGCGUGCGCAGGCGGUUUUGUAAGUCUGUCGUGAAAGCCCCGGGCUCAACCUGGGAAUUGCGAUGGAGACUGCAAGGCUUGAAUCUGGCAGAGGGGGGUAGAAUUCCACGUGUAGCAGCGAAAUGCGUAGAGAUGUGGAGGAACACCGAUGGCGAAGGCAGCCCCCUGGGUCAAGAUUGACGCUCAUGCACGAAAGCGUGGGGAGCAAACCGG
rnacentral:rRNA from 1 species